UGGGAUGGCCACGUACAUAGAUCUGGCCAAGCAACGGAAGCAGCUGGAGAAGACCUAACACACCAGGUGGAUGAAAUCAACUCGACCUUACGCUUCAGCCAGCAGAGUGUAUGAACAGCAUAUUCGGGGGAAUAAAUAACUAUUUGUCAGGCAACCGAGAUCAGCCAUCCUCGGCCACAACCACGACCACGCCCAGUGAAUCCUCGUAGAAAGCCAACAGUAAUGUUAACGCUGGAUCUCUCGGAAUAUCAUCGGCCAUCAUGACCAUCCAGUUAGUUGGAUCCGCGGGGAAUCCAGCUGUAAAUGUCAGCCGCCAACUCAAGCUGGUAACUGUUUCAAGCCCAUAUGGAAGAGAUGUGUGACAAUUUGUCGCUCUUGAAGUUCACCGUCCACCGGCUUGGCCACUGAGAUUGAGGAGAAUGUCGACCUGAAGAUGACUAGAUAGAAGAAGUAUAUACAAAAUCCCUUAUUAUAGUAUAUCAAUUACAUAGUCAUAGCAUCUCACAUAAUGAAUGCCAAUACAACUUGAGUAAGCAUCGAAAUUUUAUCAAUAUGCAAAAUCACGUGCUUCUUAGGCGCUUAAUUUUAUUUUUCUAAAGAACUUGUUGGCUCUGGAUCACCAUUUGAGGUGAAACAGUGUUCACUUGGCGACAAUUCAGGCCAAGUUAAGGAAAUCAAAAAAUAGAAAGAGCCAACUUAAGAUAUUUGGACACGUGCCUUGUCAGGCCAGAAGUCUAAGGAUGUUAUAAAAUUAACUAAAUCUCAAACUCCUGGGCUGCAGACAAAACAGACAGACAUAACCCAGGAUAACUAAAAAGCUACUCGUGUCGUAGAUGGUCACCGAUUCGUUGGGUUUUUCACUACCAAAACGGUUAUCUUGACAUCAUGUGUUACCAGGACCUACUGCAACUGGUACGGAUUCGCAACAUGGUCAGGAGCAGUGUACCACUACUGAGGUCUUGGCGUUCCAUUGAGGUUUUCAUUGGCACAGCCGAACGAUUCAUGAUUAAUAUUUCAUCGACCCCUGGCUUUUCCUCCAAGCGGCGUUAGCUCUAGGUGUGCCUGGGCUGUGGAAUUGGCGAUUAGUUGAAUUAUAAAUUCUAGUUUAGAAUACUUAGAGGUCUACACUGCAUGGAUCUGUAUGGAUGCAAGUGAGUUCGGGCUGCCUGCAUUGUAUGAUGUAGUGUAUCUCAGUGCUCAGCUGGUAGCUCAAAUUAUUUGAAAUAGUUCCUUAAAUCAAUUAAAAAUAGCUUGCUGCAUCAAUAAAAUCUCUUUAUUGGUCAAAUUAAACUGUACAAUAUGAAGAGUAACUAGGCACACACCCCAUCUAUUGCCACGGUACACCAUUUGUAGUCAGACAAUCGUUUGGCAGUGACUUUCAUCACAAAUGUAGCCAGAACCAUUGCUAAAAUAA